UACGUAGGCAGCAAGCGUUGUUCGGAGUUACUGGGCGUAAAGGGUGCGUAGGCGGUUGUUUAAGUUUGGUGUGAAAUCUCCCGGCUCAACUGGGAGGGUGCGCCGAAUACUGAAUGACUAGAGUGCGGGAGAGGAGAGUGGAAUUCCUGGUGUAGCGGUGAAAUGCGUAGAUAUCAGGAGGAACACCGGUGGUGUAGACGGCUCUCUGGGCCGUAACUGACGCUGAGGAGCGAAAGCAUGGGGAGCGAACAGG
rnacentral:rRNA from 1 species